rnacentral:lncRNA from 1 species
CGUUGGCAUGACAGAACAACAUUUCCAGAUUUAAAACCACUUGAAGUGAAUUGAAGUCUUGAGAAAGUGGCUGCUGUAGGAAAGACUACGUGCUUUUCUGUCUUGACAGGUUCUGACAGGGGUGACGCAGAAGGCAGCAGGAUGCCUGCACCCAGCUGGGGGAAAGGGCUUCAGAGAGGAGAAAAGGAAACACGACAGUUGAUCAGCGGUUCUACUACAGAAGUAGUAUUUUAUAUACUUAACAAAGACAGAGAAUUAAUGCAGAAAUAUGUUUCCAUAUCCUUGAUGUCCAUCGAGUGACUAAGGUCCUUGGUAAGGCUGAAAAUUCCCUUUCUUCUCAUUCAACAAUGUUACAGUUAUAGUUUUAUCUUGUAUAAAUAUAAUGAUAAGUGAGCAAAUAUUAAGAUUUAUCAUCAACUGUAGAAUUAGCUGAAAAAAGAGAUACAUUUACAAAGUAUAAAGUUUCUGACAAUAAUUUUAAUCCUCCAAUAAAUAAUAAAUCACAAAUAUUUAUUCGAUACCU